rnacentral:ribozyme from 1 species
UGCCCAGCAACUCCUAUACCUACCUCCUCGCGGUACCGGCCGGAAACUAUGAGCAACCUUAGGGAAGA